rnacentral:rRNA from 1 species
AGCGAACGCUGGCGGCAGGCUUAACACAUGCAAGUCGAGCGGGCCCUUCGGGGUCAGCGGCCGACGGGUGAGUAACACGUGGGAACGUACCCUUUGGUUCGGAAUAACGCUGGGAAACUAGCGCUAAUACCGGAUACGCCCUUUUGGGGAAAGGCUUGCUGCCGAAGGAUCGUCCCGCGUCUGAUUAGCUAGUUGGUGGGGUAAUGGCCUACCAAGGCGACGAUCAGUAGCUGGUCUGAGAGGAUGAUCAGCCACACUGGGACUGAGACACGGCCCAGACUCCUACGGGAGGCAGCAGUGGGGAAUAUUGGAAAAUGGGCGCAAGCCUGAUCCAGCCAUGCCGCGUGAGUGAUGAAGGCCUUAGGGUUGUAAAGCUCUUUUGUCCGGGACGAUAAUGACGGUACCGGAAGAAUAAGCCCCGGCUAACUUCGUG